AGUCUGAUGGAGCAACGCCGCGUGAGUGAAGAAGGGUUUCGGCUCGUAAAGCUCUGUUGGUAGUGAAGAAAGAUAGAGGUAGUAACUGGCCUUUAUUUGACGGUAAUUACUUAGAAAGUCACGGCUAACUACGUGCCAGCAGCCGCGGUAAUACGUAGGUGGCAAGCGUUGUCCGGAUUUAUUGGGCGUAAAGCGAGUGCAGGCGGUUCAAUAAGUCUGAUGUGAAAGCCUUCGGCUCAACCGGAGAAUUGCAUCAGAAACUGUUGAACUUGAGUGCAGAAGAGGAGAGUGGAACUCCAUGUGUAGCGGUGGAAUGCGUAGAUAUAUGGAAGAACACCAGUGGCGAAGGCGGCUCUCUGGUCUGCAACUGACGCUGAGGCUCGAAAGCAUGGGUAGCGAACAGGAUUAGAUACCCUGGUAGUCCAUGCCGUAAACGAUGAGUGCUAAGUGUUGGGAGGUUUCCGCCUCUCAGUGCUGCAGCUAACGCAUUAAGCACUCCGCCUGGGGAGUACGACCGCAAGGUUGAAACUCAAAGGAAUUGACGGGGGCCCGCACAAGCGGUGGAGCAUGUGGUUUAAUUCGAAGCAACGCGAAGAACCUUACCAGGUCUUGACAU
rnacentral:rRNA from 1 species